rnacentral:misc_RNA from 1 species
GGCUCGCUUUAAAAUAAUUAGCUGGAUCCGUUCUGACCUGGUUCUACUCGGCGUAAUAAGUUAUUAUCGUCGAGGACGCCUAGCCUUCUAGGCAGGCGGCCACAGUAAGGGUGUUUGAACCGCUUCCAACACGUCUUGCUCUUGUAGCAAACACUUGAACUUCUGACCUCAAAUCAGGCAGGACUACCCGCUGAACUUAA